GACAGAGGGUGCAAACGUUGUUCGGAAUUACUGGGCGUAGAGCGCGUGUAGGCUGCUUCGCAAGUCGGAUGUGAAAGCCCUGGGCUCAACCCAGGAAGUGCAUUCGAAACUGCAGAGCUGGAGUCCUGGAGAGGAAGGCGGAAUUCUCGGUGUAGAGGUGAAAUUCGUAGAUAUCGAGAGGAACACCGGUGGCGAAGGCGGCCUUCUGGACAGUGACUGACGCUGAGACGCGAAAGCGUGGGGAGCAAACAGG
rnacentral:rRNA from 1 species